ACGAACGCUGGCGGCGUGCUUAACCCCUGCAAGUCGAGCGGUAAGGCCUCUUCGGGGGUACACGAGCGGCGAACGGGUGAGUAACACGUGGGUGACCUGCCCUCAGCUCUGGGAUAAGCCUGGGAAACUGGGUCUAAUACCGGAUAUGACCUUUCCUCGCAUGGGGUCUGGUGGAAAGUUUUUUCGGCUGGGGAUGGGCCCGCGGCCUAUCAGCUUGUUGGUGGGGUGAUGGCCUACCAAGGCGACGACGGGUAGCCGGCCUGAGAGGGCGACCGGCCACACUGGGACUGAGACACGGCCCAGACUCCUACGGGAGGCAGCAGUGGGGAAUAUUGCGCAAUGGGCGGAAGCCUGACGCAGCGACGCCGCGUGGGGGAUGACGGCCUUCGGGUUGUAAACCUCUUUCGACCCCGACGAAUUUGGACGGUAGGGGUAGAAGAAGCACCGGCCAACUACGUG
rnacentral:rRNA from 1 species